rnacentral:snRNA from 1 species
AGUUUUGCGCUGUGGCAGUAUUGUAGCCAAUGAGGUUUAUCUGAGGUACGAUUAUUGCUAAGAGAAAAA